UACGUAGGGUGCGAGCGUUAAUCGGAAUUACUGGGCGUAAAGCGUGCGCAGGCGGUUUUGUAAGCCAGAUGUGAAAUCCCCGGGCUUAACCUGGGAAUGGCAUUUGGGACUGCAGGGCUGGAGUUUGGCAGAGGAGACUGGAAUUCCUGGUGUAGCAGUGAAAUGCGUAGAUAUCAGGAGGAAUACCGAUGGCGAAGGCAGGUCUCUGGGCUAUAACUGACGCUCAUGCACGAAAGCGUGGGGAGCAAACAGG
rnacentral:rRNA from 1 species